rnacentral:rRNA from 1 species
GACGAACGCUGGCGGCGUGCUUAACACAUGCAAGUCGAGCGGUAAGGCCCUUUCGGGGGUACACGAGCGGCGAACGGGUGAGUAACACGUGGGUGACCUGCCCUCAGCUCUGGGAUAAGCCCGGGAAACUGGGUCUAAUACUGGAUAUGACUCCAUGACGCAUGUUGUGGGGUGGAAAGCCUUGUGCGGCUGAGGAUGGGCCCGCGGCCUAUCAGCUUGUUGGUGGGGNGAUGGCCUACCAAGGCGACGACGGGUAGCCGGCCUGAGAGGGCGACCGGCCACACUGGGACUGAGACACGGCCCAGACUCCUACGGGAGGCAGCAGUGGGGAAUCUUGCGCAAUGGGCGAAAGCCUGACGCAGCGACGCCGCGUGAGGGA